rnacentral:rRNA from 1 species
UACGGGGGGUGCGAGCGUUGUCCGGAAUCAUUGGGCGUAAAGAGCGUGUAGGCGGCCACUUAAGUCCUGCGUGAAAUCUUGCGGCUCAACCGCAAGCGGUCGUGGGAAACUGGGUGGCUAGAGUGCGGGAGAGGAGAGUGGAAUUCCUGGUGUAGCGGUGGAAUGCGCAGAUAUCAGGAAGAACACCCGUGGCGAAGGCGGCUCUCUGGAACGCAACUGACGCUGAGACGCGAAAGCGUGGGGAGCAAACAGG